AUUGAACGCUGGCGGCAUGCCUUACACAUGCAAGUCGAACGGCAGCACGGGAGCAAUCCUGGUGGCGAGUGGCGAACGGGUGAGUAAAGUAUCGGAACGUGCCCAGUCGUGGGGGAUAACGUAGCGAAAGUUACGCUAAUACCGCAUACGAUCUAUGGAUGAAAGCGGGGGAUCGCAAGACCUCGCGCGAUUGGAGCGGCCGAUAUCAGAUUAGGUCGUUGGUGGGGUAAAGGCUCACCAAGCCGACGAUCUGUAGCUGGUCUGAGAGGACGACCAGCCACACUGGGACUGAGACACGGCCCAGACUCCUACGGGAGGCAGCAGUGGGGAAUUUUGGACAAUGGGCGCACGCCUGAUCCAGCCAUGCCGCGUGCAGGAUGAAGGCCUUCGGGUUGUAAACUGCUUUUGUACGGAACGAAAAGGUUUGGCUUAAUACGUUGAACUCAUGACGGUACCGUAAGAAUAAGCACCGGCUAACUACGUGCCAGCCGCCGCCGUAA
rnacentral:rRNA from 1 species